rnacentral:rRNA from 1 species
CACGUAGUUAGCCGGGGCUUCCUCCUCAAGUACCGUCAUUAUCUUCCUUGAGGACAGAGCUUUACGACCCGAAGGCCUUCAUCGCUCACGCGGCGUUGCUGCGUCAGGCUUUCGCCCAUUGUGCAAUAUUCCCCACUGCUGCCUCCCGUAGGAGUUUGGACCGUGUCUCAGUUCCAAUGUGGCCGAUCACCCUCUCAGGUCGGCUACUGAUCGUCGCCUUGGUAAGCCGUUACCUUACCAACUAGCUAAUCAGACGCGGGUCCAUCCUGUACCGCAAAAGCUUUGAUACUUCUACCAUGCGAUAAAAGUAUUUUAUCUCGUAUUAGCAUACCUUUCGGUAUGUUAUCCGUGUGUACAGGGCAGGUUACCCACGCGUUACUCACCCGUCCGCCGCUCUUUACCGAAGUAAAUCGCUCGACUUGCAUGUGUUAGGCACGCCGCCAGCGUUCAUCCUGAGCCAGGAUCAAACUCU